AGUGAGCGCUGGCGGUAGGCCUAACACAUGCAAGUCGAACGGCAGCACAGGAGAGCUUGCUCUCUGGGUGGCGAGUGGCGGACGGGUGAGGAAUACAUCGGAAUCUACUCUGUCGUGGGGGAUAACGUAGGGAAACUUACGCUAAUACCGCAUACGACCUACGGGUGAAAGCAGGGGACCUUCGGGCCUUGCGCGAUUGAAUGAGCCGAUGUCGGAUUAGCUAGUUGGCGGGGUAAAGGCCCACCAAGGCGACGAUCCGUAGCUGGUCUGAGAGGAUGAUCAGCCACAAUGGAACUGAGACACGGUCCAGACUCCUACGGGAGGCAGCAGUGGGGAAUAUUGGACAAUGGGCGCAAGCCUGAUCCAGCCAUACCGCGUGGGUGAAGAAGGCCUUCGGGUUGUAAAGCCCUUUUGUUGGGAAAGAAAUCCAGCUGGCUAAUACCCGGUUGGGAUGACGGUACCCAAAGAAUAAGCACCGGCUAACUUCGUGCCAGCCGCCGCGGUAA
rnacentral:rRNA from 1 species